CUUUGAAAUCAACACGCCAUUAACGGUGUAUACAUGUGUGAAACUGGGUCAGAGAAAACAUGCAGUUAUUGCUCUGAAUAUACGCGAAUAUUAAAAAUGCAUGGCGGAUUUAUUAACUGUUACGGAUAACCUCCAGCAGUAAGAAAUAUAAAGAUUCACUGCAGUUUUGACUAUGCCCAACAAGUAUUGAACCCAUACUAUGCUCAGCAAGUAGGGUUCUUGUAUUUUAAGUCAACACAUAAAUGCAGAUUCUUUAGAGUUGCUGUGAAUCCUCAUGCAGAUUCUUUGGAGCUGCUGUGAAUCCUCAUGCAGUACAGUACUGCUGUUGGAAGAGGAGCAAACAGUGUGGUAUAUAUGGUCCACCAUCACUUCAAGCAUCAUGGCUAUGGAGAAAAGAAUGUUUCAUUACAUAUGCACAAUUAUAGUGGACAAAAUAAGAAAAGUUGUAAUAAGCUAUGGAAUGUGGCUUGUUAUGACGGGUCUACAUGAUGAAUUGGAGUACAACCUGAUGGAGGCCGGGCAUACAGAAUUCAGUCCUGAACAUGUUUAGGCAGGGGGGUGGCAUGACAGGCAAAUUCACCAGUCGUAUUACCAUUCCUGAGCUUGAUGCCAAUCGACAGUGGUACCUGUAUAAUGAAAUAGCACCCCUUUGCAGCAACAGCAAUGUAUGCCCAAAACCAGCAGUGCCAAAGCCAUUAAAAUUGAGAACUCAAGUCAUUUAAAACGAAGAAUGAAUGGGAAAAAAUGAUAAUAAUACAGAGAAAGAGCUCUGAAAUUUUCAUUAAUUUGAAAGUGUUUUUGAUUUUUUGAAGAUGUACUAGACCCAAAUUCCAUAUAUUUGAAUAUGAACAAAUGUUACAUAUAGUUUAUGUAAAUAUUGAAUUAAUAACUUUAAAGUGUCAACAGUAAUAUGCAUUUGUUAAAUAUUGACACACUAUAUACAUGUAAGGCUGAACACAGUAUAAAUGUGAAAUUCCUUUAAAACACUGGAAGUUAUUCAAUAAAAAUUAUUGUAGUAAUGUACAUUUUUUUCAUUACGAAAGUUAGAUUAUAUAGAUCUACGAAUAUUUUCGGCUGUAUUCAAACUGCAUGUAAUCAUUUCAGUCGGCAGUAUCAUGUUUAUUUUCCCUUUUCAUGAUCAAUUAAUUUAUCCUGUCUGAAAUCACAAAAUAUGUAUAAUUUGUAAAACAAACAUUGAAUUAUUGUGGAAACGAUUUAGUUUUUGUAUGCCUAAUUAUAUAUUUCUGCCGUUAGUAUCAUCUAACUUUUUAAUACGAUCAAUACAUUAAAUAAGACAGUUUUACUUUUUAAUACGAUCAAGACAUUAAAUAAGACAGUUUUCUAAAACUAUUACUGUGUAUUAAAUGAGAUUAUGUAGUAUUAUGUUUACUGAAUUAACUGCGUAACCAUGGAAACAUUUUUCUGUUGUUCUAUAUGUCUUGAAAAAAACAACAUUGUUUGAAGAACACUUUUCAUUAAUGCAUUUUUUUUUAAAUUUUUACAUGUAAUGGUAAAUGCUGAAAGUGUUCUACAAUAACUUACCAGAAACGUCAUUAUUGUCUCAUUGAAGAAUAUACUGCAACUCCAUUGUAACCAUAGCAACAGAAAUAUAUUGUAUUAUUUAUGAAUAAUGAUCUUCACAAACAAAUUACAUAUGUUAUUUUUCUAAAAGAAUGACCUAAAUUGGUUUUAUUCCAUAAAAAUCAGACAAAGCAAAUAUUCUCAUUUUUAUCUCCGUUUCCAUGGCAACCAUAUUUUUUUUGGCCUCAAAUAAUAGGCGUUGUUUAGGGUUAUAUCUUAGCAUAUGUGAAUGUUAAUUAUACGUUCUGAUGUAAUUGUUAUAAGAGAUUUUCCUGUUUCCAUAAAGAAAAUCAAUCGGUUGCCAUGGCAACAGCAGAAUUUCAAAUAAUUAAAAUAUGAGAUUUUGCAUUAUGAGUUGUUGAUCAUUCAUUAUAAUAAUAUUUAAAAAACAUUUGAUGUUGUGCCAUUUUAACCUAUAAGUGAACCAAGCCCUUUUUUCCUUGCUCCAGUUUCCAAAAAAUAUGAUUUCCAAGUUCCAGCUGUCUGUGUCACUGACCGACUCUGACACGUGUUUUCUCCAAUCAUCCUUUCAAAUGAAUUUCUUGAACGUUAUAUUCAUAAAAAAUAGAAUAUCGUUGAUAAAAGUUACAGUUGUUAAACCACAAAUUCCAUCCAAGCCACCUCAAAAAAUCCGAUUUUAAUUAAAUCAAGCCUAAAUCUCAAGACCGUCACGAUCGUGACGUUGAUGUCGGCCAUCUUUUUUUUGUUUUUAUGCAAAUGAGUCGUUCGCUUGCGUCCAUGACGACGAAAUUAAUACGCGUAACCCCAAGUACUCUUAAAGAUUGCAUUUCAGUAUAAGAGUUUGGAUUUUUCAAAUAGGAAACAAUUUAAAGAAGAUUUGAAAGUUGUAAUUAUAAGAAUUGAAUGGUGUUUCUCUGCGGUUCAUUGAUGUAUGAACUAUCAGGAAGCUUACACCUAAUUUUUACAUAAACACGGUGUUUUAUGCAAAUUAGGUGUAAACUUCCUGACAGUUCAUACAUAGAUGAACCGCAGAAAAACACCAUUCAAUUCUUAAUUAAUUUGCUUCCUUUUUCAAUACAUAUGGACAAUGAAGGUAAGGAAUAACGCGUUAAACGACGCCUUGUAAAAUUUAAUGCAUAUAAUAUGUCUAUUAAAUUAAUUGUUUGAAAACAUGUGGAUCAAUUAUUUUUUGCUGUCAGUUUUGUAUAGAUACGCUUACCAUAUAAUGCAUGCAUAAAAUCGUUCCCUUUUUCGUUGAUAUUUUUAGUUUUACUUUUACGAAAUCAAGUAUUAUAGAUUUGAUACUUCUUCGUUCAUACACACUCUAUCACUUUGAUAAUUAAUCAUAUUACCGUACUUCUCUCCAUAAUUCAGUGGUGCCAUAUUGGGAGUAAACUAGACCUAGAAUAAAGGCUUCCAGUGUGUGUUCUACCAAAGUGAUGCUAAUGUUCAUAUGGAAAACAUGUACGAUAAAAUUUGCGAAGUAAUAAUAAUGCUUGCGUAUUUCUUAUUUUUGGGGUGGAUCACUUAUUGUUACUCUGUUGAAAUAUCGUAUUAUGCAAUCAACUUUCAGGAGAUUCAUCACCAUUGAUAUCUUACCAAGUACACUUCAUAUUUUGUGUAUAGCCCUGAUGGAAAAAUCAAAGAAAUAUACGAUGUUUUUGAAAGAGUAUGUCUGUAUUUCUUUCAUGUACAUUUGUAGUAGCAGUAUACAUCCUCUGCAUGCGGUUACAAAGACAAUAUCUAUGUUAAAGUGACAGUUUACGAAAGGAUGGUUAGUAAAUGUUAUCUUUAUACGUUUUCAUUCCGGCUCCAUUACUUCAAUAAAUCGCCGCAUAA